rnacentral:rRNA from 1 species
GCCCGCUCAAGAAACUUAAAUGAAUUGACGGGGCCCGCACAAGCGGUGGAGUAUGUGGUUUAAUUCGAUGCAACGCGAAGAACCUUACCUGGUCUUGACAUCCCGGAGACCCUUAGGAAACUAGGGGGUGCUUCCAUCUGGAAGAAUCUGGAGACAGGUGCUGCAUGGCUGUCGUCAGCUCGUGUCGUGAGAUGUUGGGUUAAGUCCCGCAACGAGCGCAACCCUUGCCUUUAGUUGCCAGCAGUUCGGCUGGGCACUCUAAAGGGACUGCCGGUGUUAAACCGGAGGAAGGUGGGGAUGACGUCAAGUCCUCAUGGCCUUUAUGACCAGGGCUACACACGUACUACAAUGGCCGAUACAAAGGGCAGCGACACUGCGAGGUGAAGCCAAUCCCGUAAAAUCGGUCUCAGUCCGGAUUGGAGUCUGCAACUCGACUCCAUGAAGUUGGAAUCGCUAGUAAUCGUGGAUCAGCAUGCCACGGUGAAUACGUUCCCGGGCCUU